GGUUACACUUAUAAUGCAAUAAAAAAGGUUCGGUAAUUAAUUAAUAAAGAUUUGUGAGUAUAUUUUUGGUUUUAUUGGGUGAAAUUUAUAAAAUUAAGAAAUGCUUGUAUUAAUUUUAUGAGGUUAAUAAAUUUAGAUUUUAGACUAGGAUUAGAUACCCUAUUAUUCUAAAUUAAACUUUUGUUACUUGGUCAGUAGUAGUUAUAGUCUUGAAAAUUAAAGAAGUUGGCGGUAUUUUAGUCUAUUCAGAGGAACCUGUCCUGUAAUCGAUGGUCCACGAUUUUUUUUACUUAUUUUAAUUAGUUUGCAUAUCGCCGUAGUUUGAAUAUUUUUAAAAAAAUGUAAUGUUCAAUAAUUUUUAUUAAAAAAGAAUUCAGGUCAAGAUGUAGUUUAUAAAUAAGAAGAGAUGGGUUACAAUAAAUUUAUUUAGRCGGAUUGAUAAAUGAAAUUUUAUUAUAAAGAUGGAUUUGAGGGUAAUUUUAUUUAAAUUAAUAAAAUGAUUUUAGCUCUAAAAUAUGUACAU
rnacentral:rRNA from 1 species